GCGAAGGUGGCGGAAUUGGUAGAGGCGCUAGCUUCAGGUGUUAGUGUUCUUACGGACGUGGGGGUUCAAGUCCCCCCCCUCGCACCA
rnacentral:tRNA from 2 species